CUAGGUAAACUCGUGUGCUCACUCAAGGCUCAUGCUUCAUCUCAGUGCCCUGGAUUUCACAGCAGACAAUGAGUGGCCAGCUGAAGUUUAGAAUGAAAUGAACGGCGUGAGGAAAAGAAGGAGCAGAGCGAGUCUUUACCUUGGUAGAGCCUAACUCUAUAUCCAGCUUGAAGUGUGAUUUGGACAAGAGGAAUAAUUGUGUGCUGCUGGAGAUGAAGUGUAGUUCUAACUCAACAAGCUGAAUCCAUAAAAAGCAGGAUGCUAUUCUUGGAAUGUAGAUGCCUGCACAGUUCAAACAAUGCCGGAUUUCCAUGGGGAAGUUAUCAUCAUAGAACUGGUCGACCUGCUCCAAAAACUUUAUUUCCAGUUGUUGAACUUGACUCCACUGGGACAUGCUGCAAAAGAAAUGAUUAAACUUGUUUGAAAAUAGCAACGUAUCAGCAAUACAAAGGCACUAUCAGAUCUCCUAUAUUGCACUGGAGGAUGCACUGAGAUAAACCCAUGUACUUUUGUACUGCACUGAGAGAUAAACACUGCCUCAAGGCAAUGCUGGGUUGUGGUUCUAGCUGUGUCAUCUGCAGAAAAAGUCAGCAAUAGCUUUGGAAACAGUUACGACCUGUGCCACCACCACGACAUUCCCUAUGGUCCCCCUGGUAGAUAAAUCUCACCUGACUCCCCUGAUGGAGUGGCCCAGCGGUGCAGGAGCAGUGGGGAGCCCCAGGACCAUGAGACCCCCAAAUCCAGGUGGCAUGGAGAGGGAAUUGGAAGUGAUGAGAGAAUCUCUGAUACAUAGGUAACUUCUGGAUCUGCUGGUAGAUGUCACCUUCACUGUCUGUAUGCUUGAAAUGAGAUGUGGCAUUGACUUCUAUAACACUGAACAUUUUUUUUUUCAGGUGCAUUUGUAAUCUGAGAGCCAGAAUCAUGACUGAUCUUUGCAAAAUCCCUGCUUAUUGAAUCAAGUGGUCUUGUGCAUGCUUCGGUGGCCUCUGUAUUUGUCUGUUAUUCUUUUAUGCUGCACUGCUGUUUAUUUGCUCCUUAUGUUUUACAAGUGAGGUCAGGCUGCAAUGUCCUGGAGGAGAUUUUCUUCAGCCUUUUGUUCUUGUAAAAUAACUGGUAUAUAAAGUCACGUUAGCUUUCCAAAGCAGAAGUGGAAGCUAUGGAUGCAGAGCCAGCAGCUGCUGCCACCAAUGACCAGAUGCACAUGUCGUACCCAACUGCAUUUUGGCUCCUGUGAGUGGUUGUUUUAGGUUCUGAUUUGACUUGGCAGUCGCUGGCUCAAAGAGGCGAUACUAAAACAGGAAGAAUGUUUUCACUGCCCUUUGUCAGGAGCUGGGGGGUGAGUUUGGAAGUCAGGCUCCCUCUUUGUCUGCAGAGGUCAGGAACCAAACUCAGAUAAAUUUUGGCAAGAGCCCACUCAGGCCUCUGCCGUGUGUCCUUCAGCCUCUGGCACUCACAGGAGGAGAUACAGCCGCAAUGCACCCAUGUUUUAUGUUAUAUUUUUCCUGCUGGCAGGUAUCCCACUAGUUCCAUUUCCAAAGCAGCUGAUUUUCAGGUGUUUUGCUGUGUACCAGCUUGCACUGGGACACUGAAUUAGCAGUCUGAAGACCACCCAAUAAAUAACAUUUAUUAGCAAUUUAAUUUCAUGCUGUCAGUAGGGGGAACUCUUGCACUGCACUUUAGCUUCUGAAUAAAUAUUGAUAACUAGCUGUCUUUUCUUUUAGAUUAAGUACUCAUUCUCUAAGCAUCCUUCCACAUCUGAUAUCCAUAAUGAUAAGAGGAUGGGUAGGUCACACCAUCCCAGUAAAAUAGCGUAAUAGCAGGGAUGCCUUUUGCUUACUCUCUCUCCUAAUCUUUAAAACAAGGUCUGAGUGGGAGUGGCCGUUGUUAAGGUGAUGUUCUUUCAAUAUCUAUUCAGGGUUGCUUCAAGAGGAAGGAACUCCGGGUAUUCCCCAGGUUAACUGAAGGCAGUUCCUUACCUGAGGGUCAGAACUCUGUGCCCAAACAGAUGGUUGCUGCUGCCUCCUGCUGCAGGGACUGCAGCUGAUGACCAGGGUGGGAGCAGCUGUGCAGACCAUGGCACAGACUGCCUUUGAGGCAGGAGGUUCUCUCAGUGUCUGGAUGCUGUAGAGAGGUGGGGGGAUGUCUGAGGCCUCACAGAACUGAUGGCCAAAUUGUGUGGGCUACUUAAAGGGAAGGAGAAGUCUCAAAUAAUGGAGAAGGAAUUCUGGACACAGUAAUCUUUGAAUCAGAAGUUCACAAAGUUGUUUCUAGGAAUGCAGAGCCAAUUUAUUACUUUGAUCAGUGUGACCAACCUGUAAUCAAGAUUAUCAUCUCUUGUAUUUGGCCUCUGGUCAUUAUUCUCCCUGACUAACCUUUAAUUAGAGUAUGUCUCAUCUAUUUUU